CGCGGCCUAUCAGCUUGUUGGUGAGGUAACGGCUCACCAAGGCUUCGACGGGUAGCUAGUCUGAGAGGACGAUUAGCCACACUGGGACUGAGACACGGCCCAGACUCCUACGGGAGGCAGCAGUGGGGAAUCUUGCGCAAUGGGCGAAAGCCUGUCGCAGCAACGCCGCGUGGGGGAUGAAGGCUUUCGGGUUGUAAACCCCUUUCAGCAGGGACGAUAAUGACGGUACCUGCAGAAGAAGGACCGGCCAACUACGUGCCAGCAGCCGCGGUAAUACGUAGGGUCCGAGCGUUGUCCGGAUUUAUUGGGCGUAAAGAGCUCGUAGGUGGCUCCGUAAGUCGGGUGUGAAAACCCCAGGCUCAACCUGGGGACGCCACUCGAUACUGCGGUAGCUUGAGUCUGGUAGGGGAUCACGGAAUUCCUGGUGUAGCGGUGAAAUGCGCAGAUAUCAGGAGGAACACCAGUGGCGAAGGCGGUGAUCUGGGCCAGUACUGACACUGAGGAGCGAAAGCGUGGGGAGCGAACAGGAUUAGAUACCCUGGUAGUCCACGCCGUAAACGUUGGGCACUAGGUGUGGGGACCUAUCGACGGUUUCCGUGCCGUAGCUAACGCAUUAAGUGCCCCGCCUGGGGAGUACGG
rnacentral:rRNA from 1 species